ACCACCCACCCUCGAUCCCAUCACCACCGACCUCCUGCCCCGGCCCAGAUCCCUCCCCCCGCGCCGCCGCGCGAACUCCCCGGCUCCCCCGCCGCCGUGCGACCUUCCUGGACCUCCCCCCCCCCCCCCCGCGCGCCGCCUCCUGGCUACCACCCCGCCGGGCCUCCUGCCGCCGGCCCCCACGGCCCAACGCGCUUCCCGCCGCGCCUCCGGCCGCCCGCCACCCGUUCUGAUGCGCCUCGGGCGCCCUCCCAUCCCCGACGCCCCUCUAGUGGCCGAACCUCCACACUAGCCCCCUACGAGAAGUUCGCGUUGGAUCCCGCCUCUCCUCUUGCGCGUCGCCAGCAGGCCGGCAUCCUUGCGCGACGUCGCCGUCGAAGACUAAUCCUGGCAGUAGCAGUAAGUUCGCAUUGGAUCCCGCCUCUCCUCUUGUGCGUUGCCACCAUGACCACUCACCUCGUGCUAUCAGCGACCUGCCAAAGCCUAAGCGGCGACCUGUCCGAGGCCUAAGCACGAAAUUCAUGCUUGAAUCUUCUCCAAAUUGAUGUUGCCUGCAACGGGAGGGGAAAGCCUGUAGUCCAGCACUAUGAUGGGAGAAACUGCUUCUACUUUUCUUCUGAAAUCACCAGUGCUCUCUGUGGCACCGCGGAGCCGUUUGCCUGGCGGGUUGAGCAGCUCAUCAAGGGAUCGCUCGAGGUCGCCGGCUGCAAGGAUUAACGAAGACAGAGACAAAGGUAGCAGGGACAGGAAGCAUGACUGAAAAUGAGAGAGUGACGAUGAAAUACAGCGUACGCUGCACCUUGGUUUCUAUUUUUAGUGGAGUCUAGAGAUAAGCACAUUUGUCUGUUUAUUAGAGGGGAUUUGCCUAACAUUUUUCCUAGGUUUUGUAUCAUUGUGUCCCGUGUUAUCCAUGUACAGGCAAGGCAUACUUUAUGUUUUUACGGUUUCUUGUUACUCAAACGUAUGUAAUGGCACCCAUUCUUGUUACUGAAAUGUACGUAAUGGUACCCAGAAAUUUGAAUU